rnacentral:pre_miRNA from 1 species
GGUGGGAUAACUGAGUCAAAUGGUAGUUCCAUUCUUAGUUUUUGAGAAAUUUCCAUACUGCUUUCCAGAGUGAUUGUAUCAAUUUGCAAUCCCACAAGCAAU